rnacentral:lncRNA from 1 species
GCCCUUUAUAGUCAAUUUUUAACAAUUUUCAUAAAAUUUGGAAAUUUUUACUAACAUUUUCCACUAAAACUACUGGGCCAAGUUCAAUAUAUAUAGAGAUAAUUGUAAGGGAUGACAUCAAAAGUUCAAUGAAGGAUACAAAACUUAAUUCACAUAGUUUUUUCACUGACCCCCCACACCCCUCCUAACUUAAUUUGGAAAAAUUGAUUGACCAAUAGGGAUAUUUGUAAAAUCGAUUUUAGAUUAACAAAACUUGCAGCAAUGUUGACCCCC